rnacentral:rRNA from 1 species
UACGUAGGGUGCAAGCGCUGUCCGGAAUUAUUGGGCGUAAAGGGCGCGUAGGCGGACAGUUUAGUCAGAGGUGAAAGCCCAGGGCUCAACCUUGGAAUAGCCUUUGAUACUGGCUGUCUUGAGUUCGGGAGAGGUGAGUGGAAUGCCGAGUGUAGAGGUGAAAUUCGUAGAUAUUCGGCGGAACACCAGUGGCGAAGGCGACUCACUGGCCCGAUACUGACGCUGAGGCGCGAAAGCGUGGGGAGCAAACAGG